AAUUUCAAGAAAAUUUGCAGGCGCUGCAUAAGCGUCAUCCAGAGUCUGUUUUUUAACAUUUAAACGACGUGUAGCGUCCACUGUCGUAUCCGCCAUACCUUUUAACUGUAAAUUAAUUAAACAGUUUAAAUAUCACCUAAAAAACAAAUUCGAUACAAUGGAUAAUGAAAGUUCGUCAAAUGACAGCGGUAAGAAACUUGACACAAUUUAUUCUCAUGUGUUAUGUCUAUGGUUAUGAUAUAAGAGAAUGGAGAUAGAGAGGAAACUUACAAAUUAAAUAAGAUACGUAUAUUAUGUCUAUAAAAUAAUAUUAAAACUACGUUUUUGUCAAAUUUAUAUUUUUAAUUGAUUAAAUUUUAAUAUAAUCAUCUUUCAGUAAUAAUAUAAUAAUAUUGCAAAAUUACGCUAAAUAAAUUAAAUAUAUAAUUAAAUAUUCUAAUAGUAUGUAAUAGUUACGGAUAUUAUAUAGAUGUAUUAAUCGAAAGUUACAUAUUGACUCUAGUUAUUAUACGUUAUAUAAAAUAAAUGUUUUAAAAAUAUUUAAAAAUUGAUACAUAAAUAUAUCAAUAUUUUUUCUUAUACAUAUAAUUAAUAAACAAUAAUAAAAUAAGAUAUAUAUAAUUUCAAAAAUUCGAUAUGUAUACAAUUAUGAAAUUGUAUAAUAAUACACAUUUGAUUAUGGUUUAUUCAAAAUUUUAAAUUUUAAAGAAUAAUAAAAUACGAAGUUGUUUAUAUUAAAUAUGAAAUAUUUUUUCAAUAAUUAUUGAAUUGGAAAUUGACAAAAUUUAUUCAAUUAAAAUAACUUAUGAUAUUAAAGUAUAUUUAUUGAGCAUUAAAACAUCAUAUUAAAACAAUGAUUUUUAUUAUUGUAUAAAACAAAUCUUAUUACUCUUAACACAAUUAUAUAUAUUGUCACAUCUAACAAAUUUUUCAGGUAAUGAUAUAUUUUGAUAUUUUAUGAUAUACAAGUAAUUAAUAAAUUAAGAUAAAAAUUUUAGUUUGUUUAUACAAUGAGAUGUGAGACGUUUGCAGCUGGCGAUAAUCUGAUAUCAUCUGAACGAGGAAUAGGACGUUGACGGAUAUCACUAUCUCCUGGCCAUGCUCGACCAGGACUUCGUGGAGUCACGUUUGAUCUAGCUACCGUAUCGACUGCUAAACUCACGGUUGUAGGAUCGUUAAAGCCGUUACUUUGAAUCCUUCGUUGAGCAGCUAUCGAAGCCCGCAAAGUUUUCCGUUUCUGCAUUUCAAAAACCAAAAAUCAAAAAAUUGAACUAAAUAUAAACUAGAUAUUAAAUAUUUUAAACAAUUGCAUUCAUUUCAUUGCUUUAACUAAUGCUAUUGUAUUCGUAUUGCAAUAUAUAAAAAAUAUUAAAAAUUAAUUAUAAAUAGUGAUAUUUUGUGCUUCUAUGAUAAUAAUGAUAGCUUUUUGCAGUAGCAUAUUAAAAUCUAGAAAUUUUCUCUCAAUUUUUGUAUAUAUUUUUAAAAGAAAAGACUAAAAAGAUAUUAUUAGUAUCAGUAUAAUUAUCAGUAUAAAAAAGCCAACAGUAUGAUGCAAUAUAAAAAAAGCAAUUUUGGUGUAGAAUACGAUAAUUAUUUUUUUUUUCAUCGUAGCUUACACCUUUUUCAUUAAAAGUUGAAUCUCAUUGCAUUAACUAAUUUAUUUUUAUUAUUGAAGCUUGCAAAGCGAUGAAUAUUUGUGCUUUGAUCUAUGUUCAUCUGAUAAUCGUAUUCUUUUUUGUUACUGAGAUCUGUUAGAAUUUCCUGCGUUGCUCCCCUAAUUUGUCCUGGCUGCUUGCAAUUUACUAAUAAACAUAGAAUUCUGAGAAAAAGAACGAAAGAUAUCGAACACAAGAAAAUCGGUUUCUGCUAAAAAUUUAGUAUAUUCAAAUUUUUCUUUACCUCAAUUGCACCUCUCCAUUUAUCGGCUGCAUGUCUUGCUAAUUCCAUCUUCUUUUGCUUACGAAUCUGAUGCUUUUUAUACGCUACUUCGAUAAUAAUUAGUCCGAUGCCACCAAUAAUUCCAACACCAACUACUAUAAACACUCCGGCCAUAUUUUUUAAGCCCAAAGUAUUGGGAGCUUUUUCAAGUUGUUCGCAUUGCUGUACAUUACUUCGGAGAAUCCAAUGAUUGUCGAGACUCUCCAUAAAGCCACCUAAAAAUAUAUUAUAUAUUUAAUAAUAAUUGAAAAAAUUAUUAAUUAAUAUUUCUUUUUAUUAACUUUAAUAUGUGAUAAUUUUUGUAUCAUAAAUUUUUUAUUAUUUUAGGUAAUAAUUUAUAUUAAUUCUUACUUUCGUGGAAGUCUAAAAUAGCAAGAGUUACUGCAUCUGCCCAUAAAGAACCUUUUUGCAAACCAAUCCCGUAGCCAGAACGACCAAAUAAUUCUCCAGCAGUUACUAAUUCGCAAUCUUGAGCAGCUUCGAAUUCUAAUCGAGAACUAUCCCAGAUAAAAGCCAUAAGUUUCCUAGCAUAAUAUAAUUCUUAAAAUUAUAUUCUCUUAGAAUUGCUAAUGAUUUUAUAGCAACCAGAAUUUUUUUUUCUUUACCCAAUUUUUAUAUCUCUAAUAGCUUCUUCGGCAGUAUCGUAAUUGUUCGCUUCCAUUGUACGAUACAUAUUGGAUAAUUCGACUUGACGACGGAAAUACAUGUCUACAGCAGAACCUUUUACCGUGGCACAUGUAAGAUUCUCCAUAGUAUUUCUAAGCUAUAAAUAUAUGCUAUAAAUAUAUGCAUGUGAUAUUUCGCAGGUAAUGUAAUAUCUUUGUUACUUUAACUAAAAUCAAUAUUAACAUAGUAACAAAAUAGCAAUAACAAUAAUCAAUAAAUGUAUAUACAUAUAUAUAAAAUAUUAUAAAAAUAACUCGAUAAAGAAUUUAAAAUUAUAAAUGUUAAUAAAAAAAAUAUUAUAAAUAUAAUAAAAAAAUACAUAUAAAAUAUAUGCAGUAUAA